rnacentral:rRNA from 1 species
UACGUAGGCAGCAAGCGUUGUUCGGAGUUACUGGGCGUAAAGGGUGUGUAGGCGGUUAUUUAAGUUUGGUGUGAAAUCUCCCGGCUCAACCGGGAGGGUGCGCCGAAUACUGAAUGACUUGGAGUGCGGGAGAGGAAAGUGGAAUUCCUGGUGUAGCGGUGAAAUGCGUAGAUAUCAGGAGGAACACCGGUGGUGUAGACGGCUUUCUGGACCGUAACUGACGCUGAGACGCGAAAGCGUGGGGAGCGAACAGG